rnacentral:rRNA from 1 species
UGGGGAAUAUUGCACAAUGGGGGAAACCCUGAUGCAGCGACGCCGCGUGAAGGAUGAAGUAUUUCGGUAUGUAAACUUCUAUCAGCAGGGAAGAAGAUGACGGUACCUGACUAAGAAGCCCCGGCUAACUACGUGCCAGCAGCCGCGGUAAUACGUAGGGGGCAAGCGUUAUCCGGAUUUACUGGGUGUAAAGGGAGCGUAGACGGCGAUGCAAGCCAGAUGUGAAAGCCCGGGGCUCAACCCCGGGACUGCAUUUGGAACUGCGUGGCUGGAGUGUCGGAGAGGCAGGCGGAAUUCCUAGUGUAGCGGUGAAAAUGCGUAGAUAUUAGGAGGGACACCAGUGGCGAAGGCGGCCUGCUGGACGAUGACUGACGUUGAGGCUCGAAAGCGUGGGAGCAAACA